GUUCUGGCCUGCGCUAUUCUGAUCCUCGGGCAGUUCGUAAUGCCAACGACCGCUGGUCCGUAUCUGGAAGACGAUGACGAGGGCCUGGAAGACUACAGUGAGAAUAAUCUGGAGAGAUUACUUCAAGCCCCGGCUCACAAACGGGCGUGUGUCAGACGAGGUGGAAACUGCGAUCACAGGCCGAAGGACUGCUGUUACAACAGCUCCUGCCGUUGCAACCUGUGGGGCGCAAACUGCCGGUGCCAGCGCAUGGGCCUCUUCCAAAAAUGGGGAAAAUAAG